AUGCUGCCCCAGCCCUGUGCCUGGGGGUGCAGUUGGGUGCGGCGCGUUCCUGUCCCUGUGGCUGUGACGGCUGCCUCUGUGCUGUGGGGUCGGGAGAGACGGGGGUCCUGUGACGGCUGCCCCUGUGCUGUGGGUCGGGAGAGACGGGGGUCCUGUGACGGCUGCCCCUGUGCUGUGGGUCGGGAGAGACGGGGGUCCUGUGACGGCUCCCCCUGUGCUGUGGGUGGGGAGAGACGGGGGUCCUGUGACGGCUGCCCCUGUGCUGUGGGUCGGGAGAGACGGGGGUCCUGUGACGGCUGCCCCUGUGCUGUGGGGUGGGAGAGACGGGGGUCCUGUGACGGCUCCCCCUGUGCUGUGGGUGGGGAGAGACGGGGGUCCUGUGACGGCUGCCCCUGUGCUGUGGGGUGGGGAGAGAUGGCGGUCCUGGCGAUUGCGUCUCCCGUGUGUUCUCUUCCUGCCCAGGGUCGAUGUCUCCCUCAUUUCCUUUCCGCUAGCCUGGCAAGAGGGCUGUCACUGAAACGGACCUCUAGGGACCGACUUUGGGGGCCAGUGCUGUGGUGCAGCGGGUUAAAGCCACAGACUGCAGCCCGGCAUCCCAUGUGGGCGCCAGUUUGAAUCCUGGCUGCUCCACUUCUGAUCCAGCUUCCUGCUAAUUAUGCGUGGGAAAGCUGUGGAAGAUGGCCCAAGUGCUGGGCCCCCACCUCCGUGUGGGAGACCCGGCAGAAGCUCCUGGCGUUGGCCUGCCCAGUCCCAGCCAUUUGCAGCCAUCUGGGGCGUGAACCAGCAGAGGGAAGACAGCUCGCUUGCGCGUGCGCUCGCUCUCUCCCCAUCUCUGUCUCUCUCUGCCUUAAAAAAAAAAAACCCACUUUUGAUUCCGCUCCUUUUUCUCUAUUCUUCAUCCUAUUCCCAGUUUCCUUGAUCGCUGCUCUUUGGAAACCUUGCUUGCCUGUUUCGGGUGUAAUUUGCCUUCUGUCUGGACUCCUAAGGUUCACUGUGUUUGAGAUCCUUGUCUUCUCCCACGUAAGUGUCUGAUGGCGAAUCGCAUUGCCGCAGUAGCAUCCCACAUGGCCUGGUUUUGGUUUUAGUUUUUCCCUAACGAUUUAUUUAUUUGAAAGGCAGAGUGACGAGAGGGAGGGAGGGAGGGAAAAAAAGAGAGGGAGAGGGAGGGGGUGUUUUCAGUCCACUUGUCCCCCCAGCGCCCACAUCAUCCAGCUCAGCUCGGGUCACCUGCUCCCUCGGAGCCGGGUCAGCCCAGGCCUGGCUCUCCGUGUGAGGUUGCGGUCCCAGCAGCAGCGGAGCCUGCACACCUGCCCUCAGCACCUCCCCCAGCUCUUCCAUGCUGAGUCUCAUUGUCUUUCAAUUAAAAGUGUGUUGUGAUUUCUCCUGUGCCUUCCUUUUAAAAGUUCCUGGGAUCACUAGGCUAAUCCUCCGCCUGCGGCGCCGGCACACCGGGUUCUAGUCCCGGUCAGGGUGCCGGAUUCUGUCCCGGUUGCCCCUCUUCCAGUCCAGCUCUCUGCUGUGGCCCGGGAGUGCAGUGGAGGACGGCCCAAGUGCUUGGGCCCUGCACCCGCAUGGGAGACCAGGAGAAGCAUCUGGCUUCUGGCUUCGGAUCCCCGCAGUGCGCCGGCCACAGCGGCCAUUGGGGGUGAACCAACGGAAAGGAAGACCUUUCUCUCUCUCUCUCUCUCUCUCACUGUCCACUCUGCCUGUUAAAAAAAAAAAAAAGUUGCUGGGUUAAGGGCAGGCGCCAGGUACAGCAGUUGCGACGCUGGCUGGGAGCUGCACCCCGUGUGGGGGCCUGGGCUGGAUUCUCGGCCCCACUGCUGAUUCCAGCUUCUUGGAAGCGCAGGUCCUGGGGGGGCGGGCGCUGGUGCACGUAGUUGGGUGGUCCUUGCCGUCCGUGUGAGAGACCUGCCUUGAGGCCCUGGGUCCUGGCUUCAGCCUGGCCCAGCUGUGACUGCUGUGAGAAUUUGCUGACAGAACCAGCGGAUGUUUCCCUCCUUGUCUCUCUGUGCCUCGAAUAAAAUAAGUAAACAAAUGUUGGAGGUUAGAGAU
rnacentral:lncRNA from 1 species